rnacentral:rRNA from 1 species
AGAGUUUGAUUAUGGCUCAGAUUGAACGCUGGCGGCAGGCCUAACACAUGCAAGUCGAGCGGUAGCACAGGAGAGCUUGCUCUCCGGGUGACGAGCGGCGGACGGGUGAGUAAUGUCUGGGAAACUGCCUGAUGGAGGGGGAUAACUACUGGAAACGGUAGCUAAUACCGCAUAAUGUCGCAAGACCAAAGAGGGGGACCUUCGGGCCUCUUGCCAUCAGAUGUGCCCAGAUGGGAUUAGCUAGUAGGUGGGGUAACGGCUCACCUAGGCGACGAUCCCUAGCUGGUCUGAGAGGAUGACCAGCCACACUGGAACUGAGACACGGUCCAGACUCCUACGGGAGGCAGCAGUGGGGAAUAUUGCACAAUGGGGGAAACCCUGAUGCAGCCAUGCCGCGUGUGUGAAGAAGGCCUUCGGGUUGUAAAGCACUUUCAGCGAGGAGGAAAGGUUGAUGCCUAAUACGCAUCAACUGUGACGUUACUCGCAGAAGAAGCACCGGCUAACUCCGUGCCAGCCGCCGCGGUAA